rnacentral:tRNA from 1 species
GGGAGUGUAGCUCAGUGGUAGAGCGCUUGCCUUGCACGUAUGAGUCCCUGGGUUCAACCCUCAGCACCACA